AUUGAACGCUGGCGGCAGGCCUAACACAUGCAAGUCGAGCGGAUGAAGGGAGCUUGCUCCUGGAUUCAGCGGCGGACGGGUGAGUAAUGCCUAGGAAUCUGCCUGGUAGUGGGGGAUAACGUCCGGAAACGGGCGCUAAUACCGCAUACGUCCUGAGGGAGAAAGUGGGGGAUCUUCGGACCUCACGCUAUCAGAUGAGCCUAGGUCGGAUUAGCUAGUUGGUGGGGUAAAGGCCUACCAAGGUGACGAUCCGUAACUGGUCUGAGAGGAUGAUCAGUCACACUGGAACUGAGACACGGUCCAGACUCCUACGGGAGGCAGCAGUGGGGAAUAUUGGACAAUGGGCGAAAGCCUGAUCCAGCCAUGCCGCAUGUGUGAAGAAGGUCUUCGGAUUGUAAAGCACUUUAAGUUGGGAGGAAGGGCAGUAAGUUAAUACCUUGCUGUUUUGACGUUACCAACAGAAUAAGCACCGGCUAACUUCGUG
rnacentral:rRNA from 1 species